rnacentral:rRNA from 1 species
UACGGGGGGGGCAAGCGUUGUUCGGAAUUACUGGGCGUAAAGGGCUCGUAGGUGGCCAACUAAGUCAGACGUGAAAUCCCUCGGCUUAACCGGGGAACUGCGUCUGAUACUGGAUGGCUUGAGUUUGGGAGAGGGACGCGGAAUUCCAGGUGUAGCGGUGAAAUGCGUAGAUAUCUGGAGGAACACCGGUGGCGAAGGCGGCAUCCUGGACCGGCAUUGACGCUGAGUGAGCGAAAGCCAGGGGAGCAAGCAGGG